UGGGGACGUAGCUCAGUUGGGAGAGCAUCUGCUUUGCACGCAGAGGGUCAGGGGUUCAAGUCCCCUCGUCUCCAUAGC
rnacentral:tRNA from 1 species